UGGAUCACCUCCUAACAGGGAGACAACAACUGAUUUUGAUGUCUGAGUAAUUUAUUCUCAGGCCGAAAUCCUGUCAUCUCGAAGGUCGAUCGGUACCUCAACUUGAGGGUCUAGAGAAUUUAUUCUGUUAGAUCAACUCAAUUUCAGUUCCUAAACUUUGUCUAGGUCACCCACUAAGGGUACAUAACUCCUGGGCCAUUAGCUCAGGUGGUUAGAGCGCACCCCUGAUAAGGGUGAGGUCCCUGGUUCAAGUCCAGGAUGGCCCAUUCGUGUUUGGGGGUUUAGCUCAGUUGGUAGAGCGCCUGCUUUGCAAGCAGGAUGUCAGCGGUUCGAGUCCGCUAACCUCCAUCCAACAGGAGGCCCCUUGGUUCGAAUUCUGAAAGGAGUUCCUGGUGAGGUGACAUAGAUUAAAUUCGGAACUGGCAUUGAGAAAUGACCAGGAAAGCAACGCUGAGUCAGACGACUCCAGCCUCGUUUCAUUCCAAAGUUGUUGAUUUAAUAAAAGAUCAACCGGUUGAAACGAUGCUGGACUCAAGGCUUUUAACCAAAGCCUUAAGUCCAGCCUCGUUUCAUUCCAAAGUUGUUGAUUUAAUAAAAGAUCAACCGGUUGAGACGAUGCUGGACUCAAGGCUUUUAACCGAAGCCUUAAGUUUCAGCAGAACCUUGACAACUGCAUAGGUAAGUCUGGAAAUAAAGCAUCUCAUGGAUGCCCAGAUGCGAAAGAGAUCAGGUGAGGGCGAAUAGCCUGAGCUUGAAAUUUUUGUGUGUUUGGGAAAAUUCUAUUGAGUUUUUAGAGCCGAGAAAUCCAAUGGUUCUUUUUAGCCAUCCAAGUUAACUGCGUGGAGGGCUUAAAGAGUUUGAUCCUGGUAUUCAAGUCUGAUUGAGCCGACCUGAAAGGGAAAGUUAAAACGAUACUGAAUCUAGAGAGAAUGGGCCUCAACAGCCUGAAGCCAUUGGAGG
rnacentral:tRNA from 1 species